AUUGAACGCUGGCGGCAGGCUUAACACAUGCAAGUCGAGCGGGGUGAUGGUGCUUGCACUAUCACUUAGCGGCGGACGGGUGAGUAAUGCUUAGGAAUCUGCCUAUUAGUGGGGGACAACAUCUCGAAAGGGAUGCUAAUACCGCAUACGUCCUACGGGAGAAAGCAGGGGAUCACUUGUGACCUUGCGCUAAUAGAUGAGCAUAAGUCGGAUUAGCUAGUUGGUGAGGUAAAGGCCUACCAAGGCGACGAUCUGUAGCGGGUCUGAGAGGAUGAUCCGCCACACUGGGACUGAGACACGGCACAGACUCCGACGGGAGGCAGCAGUGGGGAAUAUUGGACAAUGGGGGGAACCCUGAACCAGCCAUGCCGCGUGUGUGAAGAAGGCCUUAUGGUUGAAAAGCACUUUAAGCGAGGAUGAGGCUCUUUUGGUUAAUACCCAAGAUGAGUGGACGUUACUCGCAGAAUAAGCACCGGCUAACUCUGUGCCAGCCGCCGCGGUAA
rnacentral:rRNA from 1 species